rnacentral:rRNA from 1 species
AUGGGGAAAGGGGAAGCAAUGGGCUGCGGCGGGCGGACAGGCACGGGCGAAGAGGUGGGUCCCGACGGCGGGCGGACGGGCACGGGCGAAGAAGUGGUGGGUCCCGCGCUUACUGGACAAGUGGUGGGUCCCGCGCUUAAGUGGAUAAGUUGUGAGUUGUUCUCACUCUAUGACCUUGUCCCAUUUAAGCUUGAGAUUUGA